GGGGAGGAAGGCGUUAAGGUUAAUAACCUUGUCGAUUGACGUUACCCGCAGAAGAAGCACCGGCUAACUCCGUGCCAGCAGCCGCGGUAAUACGGAGGGUGCAAGCGUUAAUCGGAAUUACUGGGCGUAAAGCGCACGCAGGCGGUCUGUCAAGUCGGAUGUGAAAUCCCCGGGCUCAACCUGGGAACUGCAUUCGAAACUGGCAGGCUAGAGUCUUGUAGAGGGGGGUAGAAUUCCAGGUGUAGCGGUGAAAUGCGUAGAGAUCUGGAGGAAUACCGGUGGCGAAGGCGGCCCCCUGGACAAAGACUGAC
rnacentral:rRNA from 1 species